GAUGAACGCUGGCGGCGUGCCUAAUACAUGCAAGUCGAGCGAACAGACGAGGAGCUUGCUCCUCUGACGUUAGCGGCGGACGGGUGAGUAACACGUGGAUAACCUACCUAUAAGACUGGGAUAACUUCGGGAAACCGGAGCUAAUACCGGAUAAUAUAUUGAACCGCAUGGUUCAAUAGUGAAGGACGGUUUUGCUGUCACUUAUAGAUGGAUCCUCGCCGCAUUAGCUAGUUGGUAAGGUAACGGCUUACCAAGGCAACGAUGCGUAGCCGACCUGAGAGGGUGAUCGGCCACACUGGAACUGAGACACGGUCCAGACUCCUACGGGAGGCAGCAGUAGGGAAUCUUCCGCAAUGGGCGAAAGCCUGACGGAGCAACGCCGCGUGAGUGAUGAAGGUCUUCGGAUCGUAAAACUCUGUUAUUAGGGAAGAACAAAUGUGUAAGUAACUAUGCACGUCUUGACGGUACCUAAUCAGAAAGCCACGGCUAACUACGUG
rnacentral:rRNA from 1 species